rnacentral:lncRNA from 1 species
UUUAUAACUAUUAAUUAAAUUCUUGUGUAAGAUAAACAAAAACAUUAGAUAGCUAAAUUGUUAAUAUAUAUAUACAUACGUAUCAAAUUGUAUUUAUAAAUUUAUAAGAAUUUACUUUUAUAUGUACUUAAAUGCCUGUGUCUAUGAAAAUAAUGAGUAUAUGUUUAUAUAUGUAUGUACAUACUUUUUUUUUUUUUUUUUCUCCCCUUUUUCAUUAUAAUAGUUUUGCUUUUAUUCUUAUUAUUAUUACUAUUGCUAUUAUAAUCACCACUGUUAUUUAACAUGACUGUGGUAUUCUUACAAUACCACUAUGUAUAAUUUUAUCAAAUUUAAAUUUUCAAAACAUUUUUACAUUUUCAUUAUUUUUUUUGUCAAAAUUGUGUACAUAACUUUGUACACUUCAAGUUUUAAUAAAUUUUUUUUUUUUUUUUUUUUUAUUUUUUUUUUUUUUUNNNNNNNNNNNNNNNNNNNNNNNNNNNNNNNNNNNNNNNNNNNNNNNNNNNNNNNNNNNNNNNNNNNNNNNNNNNNNNNNNNNNNNNNNNNNNNNNNNNNUUUUUUUUUUUUUUUAUUUUAUUUUUUUUUUUUUUUUAAGUAGUAAUAAAAAAUAUAUAAAAAUAAAAGUCUUAGUAUAUCAUGGAGUUAGACUCUUUACUUGCUACUAAAAACAAUGAAGAAACAAAACAUUUAUUUAAUAACGAUUUUUAUAAAAAAGGGUUUAAUAGUAUAGUUGGGGAAAUAAACGAAAAAGGUUUAGAAACACAACAGGAAAAACCAGGACAAGCAGAAACGGACGGAUUAGAUGAAAACACGGUAAAUGCUACUAAAUUAAAUUAUAUCGAAAAUUGUAAUACAGAGUUAGGUCACAUUGAAAGGGAACAUGUCGAAUUAAACCAUACUGGAGCAAAUCGUGUCGAACUAAACCAUACUGAAGUAAACCAUUCCGAAUUAAACCAUGCCGAAUUAAACCAUGUUGAAGCAAACCAUGCUGAAGCAAACCAUGCUGAAGCAAAUCGUGUCGAUAAUUAUAUUUCCGAAUCAUUAAAGCCCAAUUCAAAAGAAAAAACAGUCGCGACUAAUACAGUAUGCAUAAAAAAUAUAAAUGAUAGUAAUACAACUGAGUACAAUGAAAACAAUAUUAUUUGCGAGCAAAAAAAAUUUAUAACAGAUUCUAAAAUGUGUAAUACAAUAACACACGAAAUUUUCAAACUUUGUAAUACAACAAAUGGCAAAAUUAUUGAAAAUGACAACUAUAUAACAUCUGAUAUAAAUAUAAAAACGGAUAAUAAUUUUAGUAUUGAUGGAAACUUAUUAUGUGUUGAUGAAAAUGAAGAUAAAAUAAAAAAAAAAAAAAAAACUGAAAUGAUUAACUAUGAUGUAAGUUCUGAAAACCCUAGUAAAAUAAACAUUUUAAAAAAGAACAUUUUAAAAAUAGAACCAACAGAUAAAUUUUUUAUUGGUAAACAAAAUAAGUUAACAAAUGAUGGAAUUAUUAAGGAUAAUAAUAAUAAAAAAAGUAACACAACGAACGCAUUGAGUGCAAUGAGACAACAAAAAAAGCCACAUAUAACUGGUAAAAAUAUCCCACUUACAAAUAAUAUAUACAGUAAUAAUAAUCAUAAUAACAAAAGUAAUGUUAACAGUGUGUUAUCGAAUAGUUAUAAGAAUGAUAAAAUUAUAGAGUUAAGCAAAAAUGAUAAAAAUACUAAUGUAAAUAUUUAUAAACGCAUGUAUCAGUCAUAUAUUUUUGUAAAAAAGGAAUAUAAUGAAUUAAUAAUUGAGAAUAGAAAAAAAAUGGAAAUAAACAAAAAAUUAAAAUAUGAAUUAAAUAGUUUAAAAAGUACUAAUUAUUAUUCCAAUCUCUUUUUUAAUAACACAUCAGAAAAUAUCUUUGAAGAUUUUACAUCAAAAAUAGGUAAUAUAUUUAAAUGGGUUGAUAAUGAAAAUAAAAAUAAUUCAAAUACUGUUAUUUCCAAAGCUGUUCAUGAAGUUAAUAAUACGACAAUUAAUGAUUAUAAAUAUGAGACUAUAAAAAAUAGUACUCAAGAAACAAAAGAAAUAAAGGAAGUUAAUUUAUUAAACAAGUUUAUGUUAAAACCUGAUUUAAUAGAUAAAGAAAAACAUAAAAAUAUUGAAACAGUAUAUGAUAAUAUAUUAAUAAAAAAAGAGUCAUCUAACCUACUAGUACAAACGAAUUUUAAAAAUAAUACAAAGGAACAAGAAAAUGGGAUAGAAAGUGGGAAAGAAAAUGGNNNNNNNNNNAUAGAAAAUGGGAUAGAAAAUGGGAUAGAAAAUGGGAUAGAAAAUGGAAAAGAAAAUGAAAAAAAAAAUGAAAUAAAAAAUGAAAUAAAAAAUGAAAAAAAAAAUGAAAUAAAAAAUGAAAUAAAAAAUGAAAUAAAACCAAACGAUAAUUUAAAAACAACAAACACAUACGAUGCAACUACAAUAGGAACAACCGUUUUUACAAAAAAAACAAAUGACAAUUCUGAAUCAUUAAUUAAAAAAAAACUAUUUAACAAUAUAGACUUAUUCAAAAAUACAAUUAUUAAUAACUUUAUUAUCAGUUGUACUGUUAAGGAUAAUAAAAAUAUAGAUGUUGUAAAUUAUACGACAAGUAAGCUAGUUACUGAUAAAAUAGGUACUAAAAAAAAAGACACAAAAAAGGAUGCUAUAACAGUACAGUCAAAUGAAAAAUUAAUUACCAAACCCAGUUUAAAACAAAAUAAAAAAAACUACAAUAAUAAUAAUAAUANNNNNNNNNNUAAUAAUAAUAAUAAUAAUAAUAAUAAUAAUAAUAAUAAUACAAGUAGUUUUGUAAAAAAUGUUGAAAUGAGUAAUUGUAAUAGUAUAUUAAUUCACAACGAUAAAAACAAUAUUAAUCAUAUGAACCGUAUUAAAAAAGCGGUUAACACUGUCGACAGUGACAUAACAACUAACUUAAUCGAUAAAAAAAAAGAUACCAACUUAGUCGACAAUAACAUAACAACUAACACAAAUAAUACAACAAAAAAAAACAACGAUGGUAAUAAAAAAGAAAAAGUAGAAGUAGUUGUAAAAGAAAAUAGUAUAAUUGUGAGUAGUACGAAAUUCGAAAAUGAUGUUAACAGAUCAAAUAAAAAAGAUAACACAAUUAUUUAUUCUUCUGAAAAAAAAAACAAACACAUACCAAAAAAAUGUUACAGUACAGAUGGAAAAACUAAUUUAUUAAAAAUAGGGAUUAAAAAAAAUGAAGAAAUAAUUAAUAAACAGUCAUAUAAAUGUACAGUUGAUAAUAAAAUAAAAAAAAAAUCUUUUCUUUGGGAAAAAGAAAAUUUUAUUAAAAAAAAUAAUAUCAAAAUUAAUAAUCAAAUUAAUAAUCAAAUUAAUAAUCAAAUUAAUAAUCAAAUUAAUAAUCAAAUUAAUAAUCAAGUUAAUAAUGCAAGAAAAAAUAUUAAUUAUAGUAAUAAUGAAUUAGUCAAAAAUAAACAAACUUAUUUAAAAAAACAAAACGAUAAAAUGUUAUUAAAUAAAUACCCAGCUAAUGAAAACAUUAUUGAUUAUUUAAAAAGUAAAAUUCAUAUGAGAAAACCAAACGAAUCGAAUAUAAGAUAUGACACGAGUCACAAUGAAAUAAAUAUAAAUAAACUAUGGACACCUCAAUCAAAUACAUGUAUAAAUGUACACUCUGAAACUAAAAAUCGUAUAAAAAAAAAAAUCCAUGAAGAAGAUAAAGAACACAAUAAAAAAAACGUUAAUCAAGUUAUUUUUCAUAUAUGUAAUUAUACAGAAAAUAAAUUUCUUCCUUUAAAUAUAAAUAAUUUUUUUUUAAUUGAAGAGAAAACAAACAUGCAAUCCGAUAUAGACGCUGGUAUAAACUAUUUAAAAAAGAACAUAAGCUUUAUUAUAAAUAAGCAAAAAAAUGAGCAUAUAAAUGGUAAUUAUAGUAUUACACGUGCUGAUAACUUUGAUAAUAACUUUGAAACAAAAAGUGGAACAAAAAGUGGGAAUAGUUAUAGUGUCGAGUGUUGUACUAACCACGCUGCUUACAUCAAUGAUAACGUCAAUUUUAAUAAAUUUAGUGGCACUUACUCCAAAGAAAAUAACCAUAAAAUCGAAAAUGGUACGAAUAAAUCAAAUACUAUAAACAACAAAACUAAAAACUCGCUGAAUAUAGCCACAAAUGUGAAAAUAAAUAAUUUACAAAACAAACAGGUAUUAGCUACUGAAAUCGAUAAAAACAUAUCAUAUAAUGAUAAAAAAAAUGUCAAUGAAAAAAAUAACAAUUUUGCUUAUAAAAAUUCAAAAAUGAUUUUAAUAAAAAAAAAAAGAAUUUGCUGCAUGUUGAAAAAAAACACAACACAUAAUCCACAUAUUUAUAUCUCGCAAAAAAGGCAUUCCAUUUUGGGGGAAAUUGUACAUAAAAUACUAAACGUUCAUAAGUUAAAAAGAAAAAAAUUAUAUUAUAAAAAAAAAAGUUUAAUUCACAAAACAAAUAUAAAGAAUGAUGAAAAAGACACUUACUAUGAUGCAAAUGGUAGUAUAACAUAUAGAAGGAGCUUUUCCUUUAUAUUUAAUAAUAUAAAAAAAAAAAUUUCAAAAGAACAAGCUAUAUUAAAUCGUAAACAGAAUAAACAAAAUAUAAAAAAAAUAAAUAAUGUUAUAUACAAGUCGCAAAUUUUAAGUGAAAGUAGACGAAAUAUGUUCAUGACUGGGUUAAGUUUAAUAAAAAAUAAAAACAUAUUACAAAAUAAAAAAAGAAAUAAUAUAUAUCAUAUAGUGAUGAAAAAAAAAGAAAAGAAUAUAUCAUUACUUAUAUUAAAAAGAAAUAAUAAAAUAUCUUUAAAAACUAUUGAAUUGUUUGCUAAAAAUACAAAUUUGUUUAAUUUUUAUAAUAAAAAAUAUGGUUUAUUAAUGAACAAGCAUAAGUGUAAAUUUUGGUUUUUAAACAAAUUGAAAAAUAAAAUUAGUAGUAACAAAAUUAUAAUCACUCAAGAAGAACAAACUGGUGAAAAUGAUAAAAAUUGUAUUAUUAUGUUAAAUAAAAAAGGUAUAAGUAAUAACAAAAAACUUAUAAACAUAUUCCAUUUUGAAUUAAAUAAAAAAAAUGAUAAAUGCGAAAAUGUAACAUAUUUAUAUCCAUAUAAUACACAAAAAUGUUUAAAUACAAGAAUAGAUAUAGAAAAUAGUAAUCGUUGUCAUGAAGUGGUGCCAAACGUUAAAGAGAUAAUAAAAUAUACACAAGUUUCUCAUAAAACCAACGAAAAAGUAGAAAAUGUUUCUAAUGCUACGUACAUAACUGCAAAUGUAGACGAACAUGUAGGUGAAAAAAUAGACGAACAUGUAGGUGAAAAAAUAGACGAACAUGUAGAUGAAAAAGUAGACGAACAUGUAGGUGAAAAAGUAGACGAACAUGUAGGUGAAAAAAUAGACAAACAGGUAGGUGAAAAAGUACCCGAAAGCACACCCCCUAACGAAGAAAAUUCAUUUCCACUUUUUUUUAACAAAGAAAAUAUUAACUACUUAUUUGAAUGUUGUAUAAGUAGUGAUAAUUCAAAUAUAAAUUUUUUACAAAAUUUCAAAAAGACAUUAAUCAAUCAUAUAACAUCUCUUAACAUUUCAAGUAAAAAAAUAAAUGAACUAGAAAACGUGCCCAACGGAAACGAAAAAAUAGUAUUGAUCAAUACCCUUCUUAUUUUGCCAUUUCUUUUGAGGAAUUGUUUUACAUUGAUACUAUAAACCCAUAACGUUAAAUAUGUAAAAGUAUUUGCACACCGACUAUGUAUAUAUACAAUCCAUAGUUAUAUUUAUUUUUGCUAUGUGAUGGUACAAUCUAUAUAUAUAAAGAAAAAAAAAUUCUUUUUAACAAUUUGUUCUUUUUUUUGUUACUGCUUAAAAUAUUGAUUAACAUUUUUGUUACAAAUACCACUUUAAAAUAUUUCAUUUAUAAAUUAUGAUGAAAAAAAAAUAAAAUAAAACUGUUUAUUUUUUAAGAUUAAGUC